rnacentral:ncRNA from 1 species
UUUGCUUCUAUUUUCCACUUUUAAUAUUUUUAUUCGAUAUUGCUAAAAAAAGAACUAAACGAUAAUAUCAAAAGUUACACUAAACUGUCUGCGUACAGACACAGAAGAAUCUCAUGUGAAUUAUUUGCACGGGUACAACUAGUUUAACAUACUAUAUCCAUAUUAUGUGGUGACGUAUAACUUUGUGCUGAUUGCAAAAGCUCAUAGCAGCCACAUGUCUUUCAAGUGUCUGCUUCAUCAACUGCAAUAGUAGAUUAUGCGCCUACCAUGGUCGUAACAGGUCAUGGAGAAUUAAGGUUCGAUUCCAAUGAGGGAGCCAGAGAAACAGCUACCACAUCCAAGGAAGGCAACAGGUGCACAAAUUACCCACUCUAAGAAUGUGGAGGUAGUGACAAAAAAUAACAGAGGACUCUUUUGAGACCCAGUAUUUGGAAUGAAUACACUUUAAAUCGUUUAACGGCCAAUGAUCAUGCCCUUUCGGAAGUCGGAUA